rnacentral:lncRNA from 1 species
UGUAAGAAUAAUGUAUAUAUUUUAUUUAAUGAAUAAUAAAAUCUAUUCUGGCAUUCUUUUCAUCACAAGUGUUGCAUCUUCAAAUAGGAACUCCUGUGUAUUGUGAUGAAGUCCUUAGGACUAAUUUAGUGGAUAAAGGAGGUUUUAUCAUUUAGUCCUUAAAUUGGUUCGCGACCGAUUGACAAGCUAUUAAUUGGACAAUAGCUAUGUCAAGUAUAGGUCGUUGUAUGCCAUUUAGUUGGUUG